rnacentral:rRNA from 1 species
AAUCAACGCUGGCGGCGUGCCUCAGACAUGCAAGUCGAACGCGAAAGUCCCCUUCGGGGGGCAAGUAGAGUGGCGCACGGGUGAGUAACACGUAGGUAAUCUACCUUUGGAUGGGGAAUAACAACCGGAAACGGUUGCUAAUACCGCAUAAUGCAGCGGCACCUAAUGGUGACAGUUGUUAAAGCGGGGGAUCGAAAGACCUCGCGUCUAAAGAGGAGCCUGCGGCGGAUUAGCUAGUUGGUAAGGUAACGGCUUACCAAGGCUACGAUCCGUAGCCGGCCUGAGAGGGCGGUCGGCCACACUGACACUGACAUACGGGUCAGACUCCUACGGGAGGCAGCAGUCGGGAAUUUUGGGCAAUGGGCGAAAGCCUGACCCAGCAACGCCGCGUGAAGGAUGAAAUCCCUCGGGAUGUAAACUUCGCAAGAACGGGAAGAAUAAGUAGGGGACAAUACCCCCUAUGAUGACGGUACCGUUUGUAAGCUCCGGCUAACUCCGUGCCAGCAGCCGCGGUAAUACGGGGGGAGCAAGCGUUGUUCGGAUUUACUGGGCGUAAAGGGCGCGUAGGCGGCCAGCACAAGUCAGUUGUGAAAUCUCCGAGCUUAACUCGGAAAGGUCAACUGAUACUGUGCGGCUAGAGUGCAGAAGGGGCAACUGGAAUUCUUGGUGUAGCGGUGAAAUGCGUAGAUAUCAAGAGGAACACCUGCGGCGAAGGCGGGUCGCUGGGCUGACACUGACGCUGAGGCGCGAAAGCUAGGG